rnacentral:rRNA from 1 species
AGAGCGAACGCUGGCGGCAGGCUUAACACAUGCAAGUCGAGCGCCCGUAGCAAUACGGGAGCGGCAGACGGGAGAGUAACACGUGGGAACGCGCCCUUCGGUUCGGAAUAACUCAGGGAAACUUGAGCUAAUACCGAAUACGCCCUUACGGGGAAAGAUUUAUUGCCGAAGGAACGGCCCGCGUCGGAUUAGCUAGUUGGUGAGGUAACGGCUCACCAAGGCGACGAUCCGUAGCUGGUCUGAGAGGAUGACCAGCCUCACUGGGACUGAGACACGGCCCAGACUCCUACGGGAGGCAGCAGUGGGGAAUAUUGGACAAUGGGCGCAAGCCUGAUCCAGCCAUGCCGCGUGGAUGAUGAAGGCCUUAGGGUUGUAAAGUCCUUUUAACGGGAAGAUAAUGACGGUACCCGUAGAAUAAGCCCGGCUAACUUCGCGCCAGCAGCCGC